ACUGCUUACUCAGUGUCGCUGGAAUAUGACGUUUCAGGUCGCGCGGAUUUGGUAGCUUUUGCCCUCCCUCCUGAAAAUGCGAGCUAAGUGGAGAAAGAAGCGCAUGCGCAGGCUGAAGCGCAAAAGGAGAAAGAUGAGGCAGAGGUCCAAGUGAGGCGUCCCGGUUCCAGCUGUGUUAGCAGCCAGCCAAGCAGCCCGCUGAGGACAGCUGGACCUCCUGAACCCCUGUGAAGCCUGAGGGCGGAUUGAAGCUGGUCAGGAGGCCUCUCAACUCCUGCUGGAUGUCUGCUUCUUCUCUGGGACAUUCUGAACCUGUUCCUCUCAGUUCCUCAACUUUUUGUCAUUUAGUUUUUUUGUUUAUACUGGGAUUAAAAGUUUUGGUUUAUAAAGUC